rnacentral:rRNA from 1 species
AGUGAACGCUGGCGGUAGGCCUAACACAUGCAAGUCGAACGGCAGCACAGUAAGAGCUUGCUCUUACGGGUGGCGAGUGGCGGACGGGUGAGGAAUACAUCGGAAUCUACUUUUUCGUGGGGGAUAACGUAGGGAAACUUACGCUAAUACCGCAUACGCCCUACGGGUGAAAGCAGGGGAUCUUCGGACCUUGCGCGAUUGAAUGAGCCGAUGUCGGAUUAGCUAGUUGGCGGGGUAAAGGCCCACCAAGGCGACGAUCCGUAGCUGGUCUGAGAGGAUGAUCAGCCACACUGGAACUGAGACACGGUCCAGACGCCUACGGGAGGCAGCAGUGGGGAAUAUUGGACAAUGGGCGCAAGCCUGAUCCAGCCAUACCGCGUGGGUGAAGAAGGCCUUCGGGUUGUAAAGCCCUUUUGUUGGGAAAGAAAAGCAGCAGGUUAAUACCCCGCUGUUCUGACGGUACCCAAAGAAUAAGCACCGGCUAACUUCGUG